rnacentral:rRNA from 1 species
ACAUGCUUACAACAUAGCGUUAAUGCACCGGAUCCCAUUAGAACUCCGCAAUUAAGCACACUCGGGCUAGAGUAGUACUGGGAUGGGUGACCGCCUGGGAAGUCUUAGUGUUUUACAUGUC